CUCUUUUUCAGAGUAAACCCUACAUUAUUUCCUUUUUCCUGUGAUUCUGGAGGAGUCCUUUUCAAGCUUUCCCCUUCAUUUGGGUGGAGCAUGAUAAGAUCAGUUCCUUCACCUGGCAUUUCUGGAGGUCCCCAAAAUUCCUACCAACCCAGCUGGUAUGACAAAGGGAAGGCCAUGUGCAAGAUUUGGAGGCUCCAUGGCACUAGAAAUACAGCCAGGAGAAAUACAUGUCAAGUCGCAGCCUUAUCUGUAACCAAGGAUACACCAGGGCAUUACCUGAAAUUGAAAUUAUAACAUGUUGAAGACAGAGAAUGAUGAUGUCACUCUCUAGAGACCUGAGACAAGUUGACUGAAUAUAUUCCUCAUUUGGGAACUAAACACCAAACUGUGAUAUGAGAACAAUUUUCUGGAUGGGAGAGAGGUAAAUGGUCUGGUACUGGAUGGUUUCUCUACUAAAUAAAACUGCUGGGGAACCAAGGUAACA
rnacentral:lncRNA from 1 species